rnacentral:misc_RNA from 1 species
CCCUCCUACAAUCAUCAGCUGCCACAGCUUGAGCACAAUUAAUCAAAAGGGUUCUCAAAUCCACCACAUUCUUUUUCCCAUUGAGUUUCUUGCGUUGACCCUUUCUGCCACUGGAUCCCUUUGAUUGCACAUUCUGAUUCUGGUCAUUUUUUAUUGCUGCAUUCUUGAAUGCCUCACAAAGAUCCUUGAGAUCUUCCCAGCCUUCCC